UACAGAGGGGGCAAGCGUUGUUCGGAAUUACGUGGCGUAAAGGGCGCGUAGGCGGCCUGUUAAGUCGAACGUGAAAUCCCUGGGCUCACCCAGGAACUGCGUCCGAUACUGGCAGGCGUUAGAAUCCGGGAGAGGGAUGUGGAAUUCCAGGUGUAGCGGUGAAAUGCGUAGAUAUCUGGAGGAACACCGGUGGCCGAAGGCGGCAUCCGUGGACCGGUAGUUGACGCUGAGGCGCGAAAGCCAGGGGAGCAAACGGG
rnacentral:rRNA from 1 species